rnacentral:rRNA from 1 species
ACGGGAGGCAGCAGUGGGGAAUAUUGCACAAUGGGCGCAAGCCUGAUGCAGCGAUGCCGCGUGAGGGAAGAAGGUUUUCGGAUUGUAAACCUCUGUCAACAGGGACGAUAAUGACUGUACCUGUGAAGGGAGCUCCGGCUAACUACGUGCCAGCAGCCGCGGUAAUACGUAGGGAGCAAGCGUUAUCCGGAAUUACUGGGUGUAAAGGGAGUGUAGGCGGGACUGUAAGUCAGAUGUGAAAUAUGCCGGCUCAACUGGCAGACUGCAUUUGAAACUGCGGUUCUUGAGUGAAGUAGAGGUAAGCGGAAUUCCUAGUGUAGCGGUGAAAUGCGUAGAGAUCGGGAGGAACACCAGUGGCGAAGGCGGCCUACUGGGCUUUAACUGACGCUGAGGCACGAAAGUAUGGGUAGCAAACAGGAUUAGAUACCCUGGUA